AGAGCUCCAGAAAAUCACAGACACUUAAGCGCUCACACCCCGCCCAGCGCAGCCUCUCCUCGGCAAGCCCAUCAGACUGCUGGCUCUGAUAUCUCUGUGGCGUUUAAACAUGCGAUUUAAUUCAUUUUAAUUUCUCAUACUUAACAAUGAAAGGGUUAUGUUUUAAAUCAUAUUUUAGGAUUGCACUUAAUUGAUAUUGCUGUUGAGUGAUGUUUCAUAUCUUUUACAUUUGUUAUAACCGGACUGCAUGCGAAUUUGAACUUCAGAGCUGAAGGAGCGGGUGGAGAAAUAGUCCCAAUAUCAUAACAAUCUUAAAUAAAACUUCUAAAUAUGCCCGUGUGUGUACCCGUGUGCGCGCGCGCGUGCGCGCGACCCGCUCGCGCGCGCUUGUGUAUGUACAGUAUGUGCGUGAGUUUUUAAUUUAAAAUGUCUUAACUUAACUCGGAAGGAUCUGAAUCACAGGUCAUUUCAUCUGAGAUCAUUCCGCAUGUAACAGCCGGAUACAUUCACUGUUUCCCACAACGACACAAGUCAUCAGCCGUUUCCUCAAGGUCACGUCAGAGCGGUGAUGAUGAGAGGCAGACCAGACCACCACCAUACGCGAAGAUGAGCCUCGAGGCGUGACAGUUAUUUUUUCAAACUGAGGAGUUCGGACUCCGGACCGGCAUUUCUGCUUGUUUGUACCCUGAGAUAACCAUGGUUAAUAAAUGGUCAGACACGUCACUGGCUUUAAAAUAUAAACCCCAUUGAUGCAAAAAGAUGCUGCGUGGAAUGACAAUGUUGUUUGGAACAGACUUGGUGAAGAACAUGGAAACAUCUCUUAAUAAAAUGGCCCCAAACAUCAUCAGGAGUGCAAAAGAAGGAAGUAAAAACAUCUCUACGCCAAUCUCAUUGGAGAGGAAACCACAGAAGGUCUGGUGAGGAAUGCUGCACUUAUGUUAUUGCAAGCAUUAUUUCAAGAAAAUCCCAGCUUCCUUGACUGUGUAAAUAGUCAUACAGCUCCACAUCAAUUAUUAUGAGUCUUGUUGGUUCGAACCCAAAGGUCCCACACCAACCAUAGUGUUCAACGGCUCUCCUGAUCUUCUCAAAUCUGAAAGUAUCAACUUUAUAAUGGACAAUGUGAACUUAAUAUGUGGAAGACAUUGACAUCACAGGCUGUGGAAUGAUGUGUCACAGGUCAGAGAAGCGGAUCGCCCCUGUCGCGGAUCACGCUCCUCCUAGUUCCACCUCGAGGAGGUCCCAAAGCACCCCAAUGACCAGACAUAUAGAAAUAGAAACUUUAUUUAAAUUAUUUAAAACUAAAGUGGGGAAUGGGAAAGGGAAUCUAAAUAUCUCCCUUCUCGCCCUCAGGGGGAGUAUUACGGGGCCAGGGACGUUGGAGGGGUUUCCACGUGACUCCAGCUGGAACACCGCUACAGAGCGUAUCUGGGUGGGUUGGGCACACACCGUCGCGGCGGCCCCUGAUGGCAUCCACAAAGGUCCAAGACCCUCCUAAGCUCCUAGCCAUAGCAGAACUACGUAUUUCAGCACCCGAAGGACUAACAACCCAGCCGGCAUCUGCAGCGUAUAUCCAACGCGAUCAAACUUCACUCUGACAAGUAACUUCCUAUACACAACCACGCCGUCCUUUCGCCCGGACCAGCCCCGCACUCUUUCCGCCCGCUACCUAGCGGUCGCCGGAUCAGCAGAGCCUGCAGACUCUUCGGAGGCUGGUCUUCGUUGUGCUGCCCAAGGCGGAAGUUGACUCGAAAAUCGACCCUUCCAGUAACUUCUACCUUCUCUCUUUAUAUCCUCCUCCUUGGCGUGGCUCGCCCAACCAUCGCUCGCCACGUCACUCACACAGCUGUGCCUUGUUUCAGCGAGUGCGGGGAUUCCCGGGGAACCCGGAAGUGCCGGUGUCUGUACAAACGGUCCGGGCGGAACCUCUUCACUCUCCUUUUGGUUCCGCCCCGCAUAGUCACUCCGUGACAACUGUUUGCGUUUUUUUUUCUCCUCAAUGUUCAAUACCCUUUUGCCAUUAAGCACACAGUGAUUUUAAUUUAUAAAAUAUAUGCUUAAGUUUUAAUACCUGUACAAAACAAAUGUAAAAUCAACUUGUGUAAAUUGUCAUUCUAUUUAAUAGAUUGUUCAUGAAUUGUCUUUAAAUGCAUUGUGAUUUCGGUAACACUUUACAAUAAAGUUCAUUAAUUAACAUUAGUUAAUGUAUUAACUAACUUGAACAAACCAUAAGCAAUACAUUUGUUACAGUAUUUAUUCAUCUUUGUUAAUGUUAGUUAAUAAAAAUUUGAGCUUUAAUUGCUUGUUCAUGUUAGUUCAGAGUGCAUUAACUAAUGUUAACAAGAUUUUAAUAAAGUAAUUGUUGAAAUUAACAUUAACAAAGAUUAAUAAAGGCUGUUCAUUAUUAGUUCAUGUUAACUAAUGUAGCUAAUUAAUGUUAACUAAUGAACCUUAUUUUAAAGUGUUACCGUGAUUUCUUUUCAUCAUUUCAGACACAUGUAAAAGUUACUAAAAAUUAGUACUGCAUAUACUGUACAGUAUCUAUGCGUAAGGGAAAUAACUUGAACAAAAUGUUUAAUGUAUAGUGUAAUUAAGAGUUUAGCUGUUUAAUACAGAGAUGCAAUUUAUUUAUAUAUAUUAUUUAUAUAUAAACGUAUGUAUGUUUAUUAAAAAGUGAAAAUGCUUAAUGGAAAUAAUUAAAUAACUAAAUGGUUGAAUGUAAUGAGACAUUUUAAAUGUAAACUAAAGUUUUGCUGUCUAAUACAGAAUAAAGAGAUGUGAUUUUAAGUAA